UAGGGAAUCUUCCGCAAUGGGCGAAAGCCUGACGGAGCAACGCCGCGUGAGUGAUGAAGGUCUUCGGAUCGUAAAACUCUGUUAUUAGGGAAGAACAAAUGUGUAAGUAACUAUGCACGUCUUGACGGUACCUAAUCAGAAAGCCACGGCUAACUACGUGCCAGCAGCCGCGGUAAUACGUAGGUGGCAAGCGUUAUCCGGAAUUAUUGGGUGUAAAGCGCGCGUAGGCGGUUUUUUAAGUCUGAUGUGAAAGCCCACGGCUCAACCGUGGAGGGUCAUUGGAAACUGGAAACCUUGAGUGCAGAAGAGGAAAGUGGAAUUCCAUGUGUAGCGGUGAAAUGCGCAGAGAUAUGGAGGAACACCAGUGGCGAAGGCGACUUUCUGGUCUGUAACUGACGCUGAUGUGCGAAAGCGUGGGAAUCAAACAGG
rnacentral:rRNA from 1 species